rnacentral:rRNA from 1 species
UACGAAGGGGGCUAGCGUUGCUCGGAAUUACUGGGCGUAAAGCGCACGUAGGCGGCUUUCUAAGUCGGGGGUGAAAUCCUGGAGCUCAACUCCAGAACUGCCUUCGAUACUGGAAAGCUCGAGUCCGGGAGAGGUGAGUGGAACUGCGAGUGUAGAGGUGAAAUUCGUAGAUGUUCGCAAGAACACCAGUGGCGAAGGCGGCUCACUGGCCCGGUACUGACGCUGAGGUGCGAAAGCGUGGGGAGCGAACAGG